UCGGCCUACGGGGGGCAGCAGUGGGGAAUAUUGCACAAUGGGGGGAACCCUGAUGCAGCGACGCCGCGUGGGUGAAGAAGUCAUUCGUGACGUAAAGCCCUAUCAGCAGGGAAGAAAAUGACGGUACCUGACUAAGAAGCCCCGGCUAACUACGUGCCAGCAGCCGCGGUAAUACGUAGGGGGCAAGCGUUAUCCGGAUUUACUGGGGGUAAAGGGAGCGUAGGUGGCAGGGCAAGUCAGAUGUGAAAACCCGGGGCUAAACCCCGGGAGUGCAUUUGAAACUGUCCAGCUGGAGUGCAGG
rnacentral:rRNA from 1 species